UGUUGAAAAAACUAUCGUAGAUUGGUUGCGGUAGGUGAUGUUGCACUAAUUCGAAGUUAACUGGUAAAAAUUAAGCAGAAUCGUUUCAAAUGCACGGUUCGUAAACAAAAACGGCGUAACGCUUGACCGGGGGUACGAAAUGCGGCUGUUGUUUUUAGAAGGCGCUAUUGCGAACUUUUGCAUGACAAACGUAAAAAGCACCGUCAAAGUGUGGUCAAAGAGAGUGACAUCGACAUGUGCCACUGGACAAAAUCCAUAUACCAAUCCAAGGGACCGAGAGAGCGUGCGGAUGGCCGAACGUCAAUGUGCAUCUUCAAAAACAAAGCAUAAGUAGUGCUGGCGCUUAUUAUGAGCGUCAUCUCCUGUGAUACACACUCAUGCCACAGCAGAACAGACCAAUAAAAAUAUGUUAUUCAGGGCUGCUUCUGCAAAACACACUACACAGCAAUGUGCUAAAGGAGGCUGCAAACCUUUUGGAAUCAUCAUUACUAUUGCAGGUACAUAACCAUGACCAAUCACUGACAGCUUUUCUGCAUUGUAUAAGCACAUAUAUUCUGGAGAUCCUCUCUUGAAAAUUUCUGCUAUGGACUCAUUCAUCACAACAACUUUGUAUUCGUGAGCUUUUUGUUUAUAUUCAGACAAUAAAGGCUAUUACGUAGUUCCA